UACAUGUGGGGCAAGCGUUGUUCGGAAUUACUGGGCAUAAAGGGUGCGUAGGCGGUUUGUUAAGUCACUGGUGAAAGUUUUCGGCCCAACCGGAAAAUUGCCUGUGAUACUGGCGAACUUGAGUGCGUGAGGGGUGGGGGGAACGAGCAGUGUAGCGGUGAAAUGCGUAGAUAUUGCUCGGAAGGCCGGAGCCGAAGGGGCCCCACUGGUACGUAACUGACGCUGAGGCACGAAAGCCAGGGGAGCGAACGGG
rnacentral:rRNA from 1 species